UCUUGUUGAUGAUGCUACUUGAUAAUCCCAGCUCAUUAUGAGAUCUUUCUAUUGGAAGGUAUAGAAAUAGAUUUCUUCAAUUAUAUUUGAGCCUAAAA